rnacentral:lncRNA from 1 species
AUGACAGUGUGGUAUUGGUGGAAGAAUAGACAAAGAGACUGGUGGAACACAAUGGAGAGCCCCCACACAAUCAACACAUUAUGGAAAGUUGAUUUCUGGCCGUGUCAUGAAACCACUGAAGACGAUUGUCUUGCCCAGAGUGAUGCCCUCUCCCUGCGGCCAGUAAGUGGUCACGUGGGGCUGUACAGCCCUAGGCCCUGGCCCCGUAUGGACAACGAAGUGCCUCAGAUUCAAAGCUCCCGGGUUCCAGACUUUCCCACUUCACUCCCAAAUCUCAGGAAAUGCCCUCUACCCAACCUGAAUGCCCCUGUAUGGGACUGUGUUAUGUACCACCGUGUCCUCAUGUCCUCCAACCACUAGAGAAAAUGCAAAGCGGCCCCUCCAUACACCGUUUCCCAAGGAAGAGGAGCUCACAGGUAAACUGGCCAACACACUUGGGCUAUAUAACUUGCGUGGUGUGUGUGUGUGUCUCUGUGUGUGUGUGUGCACGCACCAUGUGUGUGGUGGAAGGAAGGAAAGGAAAAUGGGGUUAAAAACAAGUAAGUAAAAUAAGUUUUUUCCUACUGCAUUUUGAAGUGUAACAUACAUAAAGUAUAGAAAUUUUUAAAAAGUUUUUAAUGUUUGUUUAUUUUUGAGAGAGAGAGAGACAGAGUGCAAGCAGGGGAGGUACAGAGAGAGGGACACACAGAAUCUGAAGCAGGCUCCAGGCUCUGAGCUGUCAGCAAAGAACCCAAUGCCGGGAUCAAACCCACGAACUAUGAGCUGAUGACCUGAGCCAAAGUCGGACACUUAACCAACUGAGCCACGCGGGUGCCCCCAUAAAGUAUAGAAAUUUUAAAUGUAUACUUUCAUGAAUUUUUACAUAUUGGAUACACUCAGGUCACUCCUAUACAGAUCAAGAUACAGAACCUUCCUCACUGCCCAAAAAGAGGUCCUGAAUCCCUUUCCAGGCAGUAUCUACCAACCCCACCAGCCUGUACCCAGAAAUAAUUACUAUUCUGACAUCUGUCACCAUAUGUUAGUUUUGCUGUUCUUGAACCUCAUAUAAAUGGAGUAAUACAGUAUGUUCUUUUUGUAUCUGGCUUCUUUUGCUCAUUGUUAUGUCUGUAGUAUUCAUCCAUGUUGUUAGUCUGUGUUCUUUUAAUGGGUUCAUUUCUGGGGGGUUUCUUGCCCCUUGGCUCAUUUCACCAUUGGAGUGUGAAACCAGUAUUUAGUACUGGGGCUAGAGAAGAGAGCAGCUCAGAGGAGAAGCACUCUCUGUGGCUGCCACACAAUCUACACAGCUAUAAGACAUAAGGAUCCGUGUAGGCUUUAAGACCAAAGCUUAAUAGUGACCUUCCCAGAGCACUGCAGCGGACACCUGGAUAGUGACCAAACUUUCCAUCUUGCCUUGAUUAGUGCUGUGUCCCAUAUAUCUUUGACAUCUUCCUUAUUAUAGUCCUCUGAAAACAAUGCUUGCCUUGGGUUCUCCCCAAUCAGGUGAUCUUCUGUGAAUGCCUGACUACAGAUCCUGCUGAUUCCUAACCCGUUCACUGUUCUCAUUCCUGACCAAGGAGUAAAAGAGUAGAGCUGGUUUAGGACAAAUCCACUCUUAUUCUUUAGCAGAGCAAGCCCUACUAAAGGGGGUGCUGUAGCAUUCUUACCGUUGACAAAGGGCAACUCAUUAAUUUAGUGUAAAAUUUAUUAUCUCAUUGAUGUCAGCUCUUAUCCUAGUCUUCCAAAAGAUGCAUUAACUUUCGACACUUUGUUCUUUUUCCAUGUGUAAGUAAUUAAUUGAUAUCCUGGAACAAAACUUUGUACCCCUUCUAGUCUAUGCAUUCAAACACUUAGUUUAAUUUUUUUUACAUUUAUUUAUUUUGAGAGAGACAGAGAUAGCGUGAGUGGGGGAGGGGCAGAGAGAGAGGGAUACACAGAAUCCCAAGCAGGCUCUGUACCGUCAGCGCAGACCCCCAUGCGGGGCUCAAACCUACAGACCUGUGAGAUUGUGACCUGAGCCGAAAUAAAGAGUCAGAGGCUUACCUGACUGAGAGACUC